AACAUAUUGUAGGGAAAAUAUUUUAAAAGUAGAAAACCUUACAUGAAAUAUUGAGAGGAAAAGAGAGAGUGUGUGUGUGACAAAGAUGCUACAGGGACAUGAGACUAAAGGAGAGUAUAGGCUUGUUGUGAUCUUAUGUGUAUAGAAAGUCUAGUAUUGGCCAAGGUAUAAGGAAGCUUACCCAAUCUCCAAUGUAUGAUGACCACUACAGGAAAAGCGAUUUUUACCGGCGGAAAUUUAACGACGGCCUUAGAGCCUUCGAUAAUGAGUUGGUGAAUUAAAAUACUGACGACCUAAGAGCCUUCAGUAAUGUCUUCGAUUAAUUUUGCCCCAAAUCACGAUCUUCCCCCUCUACAACUCAUUUCCCACCAACAGCUAAUGUCCGUCCCUUCUCCAAGGUGAAAAAGAAAACACUAAACCCUUCUCCAUUGCACAAAACACUUGGUCGAAGACUUGGUUUUUGUAUCAAUUCUAGCUAGGAAACCGUUGGAUGAGUGCUUUGUAGUGAUCUCUAUGACAACGUGGAGGCUCCAUUAGAGUUGAAUCAUCGUGGGACGAGGGUUUAGUGGUUGGCGGAGGCUUCAUGGUUCGUCGUCGUUGGCGUAAGGAGGCGACAGUGCUAAGGAAGGGCUCCCUGGUCCGUUCAGCGAGGCGGAGGUUUGGUGCAGCUCUGGGCUUGGACGAAUAAGCCAUCUCGUUCUCUACAAAUCGAACCAGAUAUUUAAUUAUUCAUCCAUAUUGGAAGGUAGAGAGAUCGAAGAAAUUAGAAGCUAGUGGGUUUCCUUUCUUUUAAGGGCAUUGAUAACUUGUAAAUAUCUUAGGUUUACAGUAAUUUAUAAUCAAUAAUGUGAUUGAGCAAUGAUAUGUGCAUGAUCUCAAUGUGUUAGUCAAUACACCAGUCCUAGUAGUUAAUUAUGUAUGGAUUUUUGGUA